rnacentral:rRNA from 1 species
UGCCAGCAGCCGCGGUAAGACGAACCGUACGAACGUUAUUCGGAAUCACUGGGCUUAAAGAGUUCGUAGGCGGCCGUGUAGGUGGGAUGUGAAAGCCCUCGUCUCAACCGAGGAAUUGCGUUCCAAACCACAUGGCUUGAGGAAGAUAGAGGUGAGCGGAACUGAUGGUGGAGCGGUGAAAUGCGUUGAUAUUAUCAGGAACACCAGAGGCGAAGGCGGCUCACUGGGUCUUUUCUGACGCUGAGGAACGAAAGCUAGGGGAGCAAACGGGAUUAGAUA